GACGAACGCUGGCGGCGUGCUUAACACAUGCAAGUCGAACGGAAAGGCCCUGCUUUUGUGGGGUGCUCGAGUGGCGAACGGGUGAGUAACACGUGAGUAACCUGCCCUUGACUUUGGGAUAACUUCAGGAAACUGGGGCUAAUACCGGAUAGGAGCUCCUGCUGCAUGGUGGGGGUUGGAAAGUUUCGGCGGUUGGGGAUGGACUCGCGGCUUAUCAGCUUGUUGGUGGGGUAGUGGCUUACCAAGGCUUUGACGGGUAGCCGGCCUGGGAGGGUGACCGGCAACAUUGGGACUGAGAUACGGCCCAGACUCCUACGGGAGGCAGCAGUGGGGAAUAUUGCACAAUGGGCGGAAGCCGGAUGCAGCAACGCCGCGUGCGGGAUGACGGCCUUCGGGUUGUAAACCGCUUUCGCCUGUGACGAAGCGUGAGUGACGGUAAUGGGUAAAGAAGCACCGGCUAACUACGUG
rnacentral:rRNA from 1 species